UCCCUCUCUGCCCAGAUUUAUCAAUCUCCUC
rnacentral:piRNA from 2 species